CACAGAUGAUGAAGUCAUUUAUGAAGAGGAAUGAAAAAUGAGCAACUCUAUGGGGGAGUCAGUUCUGCGUGUUUUUCUACACUUCCUGACGUGACAUCACUUCCUGAUGUGACACCACUUCUUGACGCUAGAUUAAACUUGGAUGCUACAAGCGAGAAGACAAAGGAAGAGCACGAUUGCCUUCAUCUCUCUAUCACCAUUACCAUCCAGGCAAAGACGGGAGGAAAACACCCAUUGCUAUGGCAACAGGUGAUAUUUGAAGACACAAGUGGUCGCUCAUGGUGUUGGCGUGGGAACACGUCCUUCUCACGGUUACAGGCUGACCGUCAGUUGCCAACCAACCAGAGGGGGCGCUAUUGCACACUGAGGCCGGGAAACUGCCUACCUAACAUGACCUUCCUUGGAUGAUAUUUACAAGCAACUGUCCAUCCCCCCUUGGGAAUUCCCACAGUAGCCGUAGCUGGUGAGGGCCGGAAUCCAUUGCAGGCCAAGUCUCUUGUCAUCGGGACUGCUCCAUUAG